UGAGGGAUUUUGCGCAAUGGACGAAAGUCUGACGCAGCGACACCGCGUGAGUGAUGAAGGCCUUCGGGUUGUAAAGCUCUGUCAGAGGGGAAGAGUAAGGACGGUACCCUCGGAGGAAGCCUCGGCUAACUACGUGCCAGCAGCCGCGGUAAGACGUAGGGGGCAAGCGUUGUCCGGAAUUACUGGGCGUAAAGAGCUCGUAGGUGGGACUAUAAGUCGAUGAGUAAAUAUCUCGGCUCAACUGAGAUGCCAUUGUCGAUACUGUGGUUCUUGAGGACAGGAGAGGAAAGUGGAAUUCCCGGUGUAGCGGUGAAAUGCGUAGAGAUCGGGAGGAACACCAGUGGCGAAGGCGGCUUUCUGGCCUGAUUCUGACACUGAGGAGCGAAAGCCAGGGGAGCGAACGGG
rnacentral:rRNA from 1 species